UUCUCUAAGAUCUAAUUUAGAGUAAAACCUGCUCAAUGUAAUUAUAAAUAGCCGCAGUUUACUGUGCUAAGGUAGCAUAAUCAUUAGCUUUCUAAUUAAAAGAUAGAAUGAAUGGUUAUAUGAAAUAUAAACUGUUUCUAAAUUACCAUAAUAAUUUUAAAAAAAAGUAAAAAUUCUUUUAUUCUUAAGAAAGACGAUAAGACCCUAAUAAACUUUUAUAUUUUGCUGGGGCGGCAAAUAAAUAAAACCUUAAUUUAUAAAAAUAUUAAAUAAACUAAUACAAUUAACUUACAAAGUUACUAUAGGGAUAACAGCGCAAUCUUUUUUUAAAGCUCUAAUCUAAAAAAAGUCUUACGACCUCGAUGUUGAAUUAAUAUUCUUUAUUAUUAUAGCGCAAAAGCUAUAAAAGAUAGUCUGUUCGACUAUUAAAAAAUU
rnacentral:rRNA from 1 species